AACGAACGCUGGCGGCAGGCUUAACACAUGCAAGUCGAACGCAUCCUUCGGGGUGAGUGGCAGACGGGUGAGUAACGCGUGGGAACGUGCCCUUCAGUUCGGGAUAACCCAGGGAAACUUGGGCUAAUACCGGAUACGUGCGAGAGCAGAAAGAUUUAUCGCUGAAGGAUCGGCCCGCGUCUGAUUAGCUAGUUGGUGGGGUAAUGGCCCACCAAGGCGACGAUCAGUAGCUGGUCUGAGAGGGUGAUCAGCCACAUUGGGACUGGGACACGGCCCAAGCUCCUACGGGAGGCAGCAGUGGGGAAUAUUGGACAAUGGGCGCAAGCCUGAUCCAGCCAUGCCGCGUGAGUGAUGAAGGCCUUAGGGUUGUAAAGCUCUUUCGUCCGGGACGAUAAUGACGGUACCGGAAGAAGAAGCCCCGGCUAACUUCGUGCCAGCCGCCGCUGUAA
rnacentral:rRNA from 1 species